rnacentral:rRNA from 1 species
GAUGAACGCUGGCGGCGUGCCUAAUACAUGCAAGUCGAGCGAACGUACGUGAUGCUUGCUUCUCUGAUGUUACCGACGAACGGGUGAGUAACACGUGGGUAACCUACAUAUAAGACUGCGAUACCUUCGGGAAACCUGACCUAAGACCGCAUAAUCUUUUACCCCGUAUGGUUCAAUAGUGAAAGACGGUCUUGCUGUCACUGAUUAAACGAUCCGCGCUGCAUUAGCUAGUUGGUAAGGUAACGGCUUACCAAGGCAACGAUGCAUAGCCGACUUGAGAGGUUGAUCGGCCACAGUGGAACUGAGACACGGUCCAAACUCCUACGGGAGGCAGCAGUAGGGAAUCUUCCGCAAUGGGCGAAAGCCUGACGGAGCAACGCCGCGUGAGUGAUGAAGGUCUUCGGAUCGUAAAACCCUGUUAUUAGGGAAGAAAAUACGUGUAAGUAACUGUGCACAUCUUGACGGUACCUAAUCAGAAAGCCACGGCUAACUACGUG